AUUGAACGCUGGCGGCAGGCUUAACACAUGCAAGUCGAGCGGAGAUGAGGUGCUUGCACCUUAUCUUAGCGGCGGACGGGUGAGUAAUGCUUAGGAAUCUGCCUAUUAGUGGGGGACAACAUUCCGAAAGGAAUGCUAAUACCGCAUACGUCCUACGGGAGAAAGCAGGGGAUCUUCGGACCUUGCGCUAAUAGAUGAGCCUAAGUCGGAUUAGCUAGUUGGUGGGGUAAAGGCCUACCAAGGCGACGAUCUGUAGCGGGUCUGAGAGGAUGAUCCGCCACACUGGGACUGAGACACGGCCCAGACUCCUACGGGAGGCAGCAGUGGGGAAUAUUGGACAAUGGGGGGAACCCUGAUCCAGCCAUGCCGCGUGUGUGAAGAAGGCCUUUUGGUUGUAAAGCACUUUAAGCGAGGAGGAGGCUCCUUUAGUUAAUACCUAAAGAGAGUGGACGUUACUCGCAGAAUAAGCACCGGCUAACUCUGUGCCAGCCGCCGCCGUAAGAC
rnacentral:rRNA from 1 species